rnacentral:tmRNA from 1 species
GGGGAUGAACGGUCUCGACGGGGAAGGCCGGUCACGGACGGCGAGCCGGGGCGCUCUGACCCCGUGAACAACGGAGCAACCUCAAGAAUGCCAACACUUGGGCUGCAAUUCCCGUCGCCGCGUAAGCGGUAGGGGAAACCGGGCCGCCACAAUGAGCGGCCCCGUCCGCCUCAACCCCUCACCGGCGGGUUGAGGACCGGGCGUGACAAAGUCGGUGUGCGGCGGCCCGACGCCGAUACGGUCGCCCAAGCAACAUCGGCUGAGUCCAGGCACCGCGCGGUCGGCCGCGACGGGCCGGACGAGAACCCAAGAGCCGACUACGCUCGUAGAUGUCCCUGACCCAGUUCUCCGGACGCGGGUUCAAAUCCCGCCAUCUCCACCA